rnacentral:tRNA from 1 species
UCCCCAGUGGCGCAAUUGGUUAGCGCACGGUACCUUUAAUGCCGGGGUUGUGAGUUUGAGCCUCACCUGGGGAA